CCUCUCGUGGCGUAGGGGUAAAGCGCCCUAACUAGAGAUCAGGGAGUCGUGAGUUAGAUUCUCGCCAAGAAGA
rnacentral:tRNA from 1 species